AAGAGGGGACAUCUUUGUCUUGUUCCUAUUUUUGAGGUUACUGUGGGCUCUGAAAUGUCCAUUUGUACGUUCAACAAAAAGAGUGUUUCCAAUGGGGUGAAUCCAAAUGGAGUUUCCAUUCUGUAAGGAAAGAAAAAUUAUUGGCAGUGAAAGAGAAAGCUGAAGCCAAUAGAGAGAAGCAGAAAUGAGAACACCAGAAGGAUUCAAGUUUGACUGCUAACUCCUGAAACCUGUGCCCAAUGAUUCUUUAUUCCAUUAGAUUCCCCAACAUCCCUCCAAUAAAUUUCUUCUUUUGAUUUAUUUAAUCUAAGUUUGAUAUAUUCUGUUGCAACAAAGAGA
rnacentral:lncRNA from 10 species